GAUGAACGCUGGCGGCGUGCCUAAUACAUGCAAGUCGAGCGAACAGAUGAGGAGCUUGCUCCUCUGACGUUAGCGGCGGACGGGUGAGUAACACGUGGAUAACCUACCUAUAAGACUGGGAUAACUUCGGGAAACCGGAGCUAAUACCGGAUAAUAUAUUGAACUGCAUGGUUCAAUAGUGAAAGACGGUUUUGCUGUCACUUAUAGAUGGAUCCGCGCCGCAUUAGCUAGUUGGUAAGGUAACGGCUUACCAAGGCAACGAUGCGUAGCCGACCUGAGAGGGUGAUCGGCCACACUGGAACUGAGACACGGUCCAGACUCCUACGGGAGGCAGCAGUAGGGAAUCUUCCGCAAUGGGCGAAAGCCUGACGGAGCAACGCCGCGUGAGUGAUGAAGGUCUUCAGAUCGUAAAACUCUGUUAUUAGGGAAGAACAAAUGUGUAAGUAACUAUGCACGUCUUGACGGUACCUAAUCAGAAAGCCACGGCUAACUACGUG
rnacentral:rRNA from 1 species